rnacentral:rRNA from 1 species
CCUACGGGUGGCAGCAGUGGGGAAUAUUGCACAAUGGGCGAAACCCUGAUGCAGCGACGCCGCGUGAGUGAAGAAGUAAUUCGGUAUGUAAAGCUCUAUCAGCAGGGAAGAAAAUGACGGUACCUGACUCAGAAGCCCCGGCUAACUACGUGCCAGCAGCCGCGGGAAUACGGAGGGGGCCAGCGUUAUCCGGAUUUACUGGGAGUAAAGGGAGCGUAGACGGCAGUGCAAGUCUGGAGUGAAAGGCGGGGGCUCAACCCCCGGACUGCACUUGAAACUGUACGGCUGGAGUGCAGGAGAGGUAAGCGGAAUUCCUAGUGUAGCGGUGAAAUGCGUAGAUAUUAGGAGGAACACCAGUGGCGAAGGCGGCUUACUGGACUGUAACUGACGUUGAGGCACGAAAGCGUGGGGAGCAAACAGGAUUAGAUACCCGAGUAGUC